rnacentral:rRNA from 1 species
UACGUAGGGGGCAAGCGUUGUCCGGAUUUAUUGGGCGUAAAGAGCGUGUAGGCGGUUUGGUAGGUCCGUUGUGAAAACUCGAGGCUCAACCUCGAGACGCCGGCGGAAACCAUCAGGCUAGAGUCCGGAAGAGGAGAGUGGAAUUCCUGGUGUAGCGGUGAAAUGCGCAGAUAUCAGGAAGAACACCCGUGGCUAAGGCGGCUCUCUGGGCAGUAACUGACGCUGAGAAGCGAAAGCGUGGGGAGCGAACAGG